GUGGAUUAGUGGCGAACGGGUGAGUAACACGUGAGUAACCUGCCCUUAACUCUGGGAUAAGCCUGGGAAACUAGGUCUAAUACCGGAUAGGAGCGUCUACCGCAUGGUGGGUGUUGGAAAGAUUUAUCGGUUUUGGAUGGACUCGCGGCCUAUCAGCUUGUUGGUGAGGUAAUGGCUCACCAAGGCGACGACGGGUAGCCGGCCUGAGAGGGUGACCGGCCACACUGGGACUGAGACACGGCCCAGACUCCUACGGGAGGCAGCAGUGGGGAAUAUUGCACAAUGGGCGCAAGCCUGAUGCAGCGACGCCGCGUGAGGGAUGACGGCCUUCGGGUUGUAAACCUCUUUCAGUAGGGAAGAAGCGAAAGUGACGGUACCUGCAGAAGAAGCACCGGCUAACUACGUGCCAGCAGCCGCGGUAAUACGUAGGGUGCGAGCGUUAUCCGGAAUUAUUGGGCGUAAAGAGCUCGUAGGCGGUUUGUCGCGUCUGUCGUGAAAGUCCGGGGCUUAACCCCGGAUCUGCGGUGGGUACGGGCAGACUAGAGUGCAGUAGGGGAGACUGGAAUUCCUGGUGUAGCGGUGGAAUGCGCAGAUAUCAGGAGGAACACCGAUGGCGAAGGCAGGUCUCUGGGCUGUAACUGACGCUGAGGAGCGAAAGCAUGGGGAGCGAACAGGAUUAGAUACCCUGGUAGUCCAUGCCGUAAACGUUGGGCACUAGGUGUGGGGACCAUUCCACGGUUUCCGCGCCGCAGCUAACGCAUUAAGUGCCCCGCCUGGG
rnacentral:rRNA from 1 species